AAUAAAUUGCUAAAUUCUAUAAUAAUUUCUGUUAUAUCAGCUCAUCAUCUUUUCUCUUUUUCUUUUGCUGUCCCCCAACUAUUCCUCUUUCUGGUCAGUGUGUGCCCUGAUUUCUUUCCGAAGAAUGACCUCUCUCCAGUCUGCAGGGACUGUGAAUAAGGGUCUCUGAACUUCCUUAGCCUAUAUAUAUUUUUCCUUUUUUUUGAGGGAGUACUCUGAAUCUAGAACUGAGUGUUACAAAGAUGUAAAAGACAGUUGGAGUUCAUUCCUGUGUAGUACCCUAAAGAGACUGUCAAGGUGUCCUGCAGCCUCCAUGCCCAAAGCUGGAUGGUUACUGACUGAAUGCUAAGCUGACUCCAAGCUUGGGCUCAAAGUCUCUUUGCCCUUUUGAGUUCUUUAAGACUGGUCCAGUAAAUUCUCUUUCUAAUUUAACCAGAAUGGGUUUCUGAUACUUAAAACCAUGGAAGCCUAACAAACAGAGACAGAAUUUUUGUGGGGAGUUCCAGAACUCCGGUAAUCACCAGACUCCCAGUGUCCUAGUGAAUGAACUAUGGAGAGGAUGGAGGGAUACUUUCAGGAUUCUGGUGUCACACAUUCUACAUGAAAAGUCAUGGUAAAUGAGCAAGCAAUGCGUAUACACUUACUGCCAUUCCUUUAAAAUACUGUGUGGAAAGGAUACUAAGAGGCUGCUCGUGAAGAAUGUUUAUUUCAAAAAGUGAAUUAUGUGAAACCAUUAUAAUUCAAUUCAAGGACUGUCAGAUUGAAACUUAGAUCUUGAGUACCAGAAGGAGUUUCAAAGAUACAUUUGUGAAAUACUCAGAAAUAUUAGAUGCGGGACAUCUCUGAGUGGUUGUAUAUUGCACUCCACUUUGCAAAUGAAAUAAAACACUGGAAGAAGACAUACAUAAGAGAAAAAGCAUUGCUCUCAGCUUUUACGCCGUUUCCUAGUUUAUUUGGGACUCUGUCCUCUACCCAGACAUCGGUCAUUUGAGAUCCGUGCCAGGCAAGAUUGAUACAACAGAAAGAUAUUGAAUUCCAACAGUUUUUAAAAAAGUCAUUAAGAAAUUGGAACCCAGGAAUCAAAGUGUCAAUAAUAGAAGACUACCAAUAAUACAAAGACUCAUGGAAACCAAAAGCCAAAGGAGAACUGUGAGUGUGCAUUUUUCUCUCUUGUGCCAUUUGCGACUCUUUUGACUUUAAGUGCCAUGUGUAUAUUUUAGGGGGUUUGCUAGGACUAAGAUUGGACUAGCUUUUCCUUCUCAGAGUGCUCAGAUCCAAGUGACACUGAAGGAAAAAUCAUGAGGAAGUUUGGAGCCAGCUCCUGGUGCUUGAGCAUAAAGUCAAAAAGAAACUAUAAUUCAGUUACACUGUUAAGUGUGAUGAUAUAG
rnacentral:lncRNA from 1 species